UGCGGGUCUCCGCUUCCUGCCGCAGGAAAGCGGAACAGCUCCCCCUGCGGCUGGAGUUGAGUCUCAGCAUGGUCUCUCGGGGAGUGGAGUAGGCAGGACCUGAGGCUGGCGGCACCCCUAAUGAAACCGCUUUCUUUGGGAGAGAGCCAGCUCACAGUCUUCAGUCCGCAGCCGUCCCCGGUCCACCUCUGGGUCCUUUACCUGCCUCUCUUUACCCUUGCACCGGAGCGCGUCUCCUCUUGUGUUGGAAGAUUGCUGGUAGCGCGGGCGCCACCUGCAGGCUGGUCAGAUUGAGACUCGCUGCGCAUCCUCUAGGAGAGAAGUAUUGGCGGCCCUGUAAAGGCCCCUCCCUGGCACUGUAGCAGCGAAGAGGGAGUGAAAGAGCUUCCAGUUUCUGCUCUUUUCAUCUUAAAACCCAAAAGUGAUUAUUCUGUAUAAAGUGUUAUUAAUA